UGAAGACUCACCACGAGCAUCAGGACAGAACUUCACCAUCACUGACUUCACAGCUGAACACAGUGGGAAUUAUUACUGUGAAGCCCAGAACGAGAUGGGAUGUAGUAACUCCACCUUAAUUCUGAUUAAUUCUUCAGGAAAAGGAGGCUGCACAUGGUCAACAACAACAACUGUUUUUGCAUCCAUAUCUGCUGUUUUCCUGCUGAUCAUCAUCCUCGCUGUCCUCUACAUCAGAUCCCACUGACCAACGUUGGACACCAGGAGGAAGAGGAG